rnacentral:lncRNA from 1 species
GAAGACCAAGUCGGUGUGGCCGCGGAGGGUCUUCACGCAUUCAGCGGACUGGGCGUCCCAGAUGCGGAGAGUGAGAUCGUCGGAGGCGGAGCAGAUGUAGUGGGAGUCGGAGGACCAUGCCAGGUCGGAGAUGCCGCCGGAGUGGCCAACAAGGCGGGACUUGAGGGUUAGGGUUUGCGAGGACCAGACAAUUAGGGUUUUGUCGAGAGAGGCGGAGGCCAGGAGGGUGCCGUC